CGCGGCCUAUCAGCUUGUUGGUGAGGUAACGGCUCACCAAGGCGACGACGGGUAGCUGGUCUGAGAGGAUGUCCAGCCACACUGGGACUGAGACACGGCCCAGACUCCUACGGGAGGCAGCAGUUAGGAAUCUUGCGCAAUGGACGAAAGUCUGACGCAGCGACGCCGCGUGCGGGAUGAAGGCCCUCGGGUUGUAAACCGCUUUCAGCAGGGACGAAAUUGACGGUACCUGCAGAAGAAGCCCCGGCCAACUACGUGCCAGCAGCCGCGGUAAUACGUAGGGGGCAAGCGUUGUCCGGAUUUAUUGGGCGUAAAGAGCUCGUAGGUGGUUCGGUAAGUCGGAUGUGAAAUCUCCAGGCUCAACCUGGAGGGGUCAUUCGAUACUGCCGUGACUAGAGGUCGGUAGGGGAGUGUGGAAUUCCUGGUGGAGCGGUGAAAUGCGCAGAUAUCAGGAGGAACACCCGUAGCGAAGGCGGCACUCUGGGCCGAUUCUGACACUGAGGAGCGAAAGCGUGGGGAGCGAACAGGAUUAGAUACCCUGGUAGUCCACGCCGUAAACGUUGGGCACUAGGUGUGGGACUCUAUCGACGGGUUCCGUGCCGUAGCUAACGCAUUAAGUGCCCCGCCUGGGGAGUACGG
rnacentral:rRNA from 1 species